UACGUAGGGACCAAGCGUUGUUCGGAUUUACUGGGCGUAAAGGGCGCGUAGGCGGCGUGGUAAGUCACUUGUGAAAUCUCCGAGCUUAACUCGGAACUGCCAAGUGAUACUGCUGUGCUAGAGUGCAGAAGGGGCAACCGGAAUUCUUGGUGUAGCGGUGAAAUGCGUAGAUAUCAGGAGGAACACCGGUGGCGAAGGCGGGUCUCUGGGCCGAUACUGACGCUGAGGAGCGAAAGCGUGGGGAGCAAACAGG
rnacentral:rRNA from 1 species